ensembl:lncRNA
AUGCGAGCCACCACAGGCUCUGAGAGAAAGGGGAGCACCGGGAGAAAUGGACCAUUUCCUCUCUGCAGCCUCCUCUCUACCACCCUGUCCGCUGCUCGCGAUGUAAAUCAGAGAGAUGCGAGCCAAUGCAACCCAAGCGCAUGUGGGGUGUGUGUGGGCUGCCUGAGUGAAGUUAAAGACCCCAUCCAGCAGCCUGUCAGUCCAUCGUGUGUGUGUGUGCAUGUGUGUGCAUGAUAUUCUUUAAAUAACAGUUUCAACUAGAUCUGCUUCUCUUGAAAGAAACAUCGUUUGUGUAAGUUUAGUCUAUAGGUUUUGAUUCUGCAUAAAUGAUAUUUUGAUAAGUGCACAAAUGACUUCUGCAUUCAUAAUGCAGCAUAAAAUAGUACAGUACAUUGUCAUAUUUGUAAUCUGUCCUCUACAGUCAGAUUUUCAUCCUUUCAUCCUCAUCCAAUCUGAGGAGGUUUGUUAAAAUUAGUUGUUGAAAUACUCAAUAAAAAUGCAUGCACUGAGGUUGCAUGCACUGGAGUCUGUAUUUCUGUACUUGUGUAAAAUGUAUUUCUACCCUUGGAAACAAUACACAACAUAUUAACCCAUUAGAAGUAAAUUCAGUAUCUGUAUAUAGUUAAAUAAACUACCUGUAAAAAAAUCGGAAUAGUUUGUAAUGUUUUUGAAAGAGGUCCGCAUUUAUUAGAUCUAAAAUAGAGUAAAAAGAC